AUUGAACGCUGGCGGCAGGCCUAACACAUGCAAGUCGAACGAGUGGCGGACGGGUGAGUAAUGUCUGGGAAACUGCCCGAUGGAGGGGGAUAACUACUGGAAACGGUAGCUAAUACCGCAUACCAUCGGAUGUGCCCAGAUGGGAUUAGCUAGUAGGUGGGGUAAUGGCUCACCUAGGCGACGAUCCCUAGCUGGUCUGAGAGGAUGACCAGCAACACUGGAACUGAGACACGGGCCAGACUCCGACGGGAGGGAGAAGGGGGGAAUAUUGCAAAAUGGGCGCAAGCCUGAUGCAGCCAGGCGGCGUGUAUGAAGAAGGCCUUCGGGUUGAAAAGUACUUUCAGCGAGGAGGCGUGACUGGCAGAAGAAGAACCGGCGAACUCCGUGCCAGAGCCGCGGUAAUUC
rnacentral:rRNA from 1 species